UACGGAGGGUGCGAGCGUUGUCCGGAAUCAUUGGGCGUAAAGGGCGCGUAGGUGGCCCGGUCAGUCCGUGGUGAAAGCGCGGGGCUCAACCCCGCGUCGGCCAUGGAUACUGCUGGGCUGGAGCACUGUAGAGGCAGGCGGAAUUCCGGGUGUAGCGGUGGAAUGCGUAGAGAUCCGGAAGAACACCGGUGGCGAAGGCGGCAUCCUGGACCGGCAUUGACGCUGAGGCGCGAAAGCCAGGGGAGCAAACGGG
rnacentral:rRNA from 1 species